rnacentral:rRNA from 1 species
UUAAGUGAAUAAGGGCGCACGGUGGAUGCCUUGGUACUAGGAGCCGAAGAAGGACGGAACUAACACCGAUAUGCUUUGGGGAGCUGUAAGUAAGCUAAGAUCCAAAGAUUUCCGAAUGGGGGAACCCAACACCUUUCAUAGGGUGUUACCAAUGAGUGAAUACAUAGCUCAUUAGGAGGUACACGCAGGGAACUGAAACAUCUCAUUACCUGCAGGAAGAGAAAGAAAAAUCGAUUCCCUGAGUAGCGGCGAGCGAAACGGGAGGAGCCCAAACCAACGAGCUUGCUUGUUGGGGUUGUAGGACUAGAACGUGAGAAGAAAUCAAGAUAGCAGAAGUGGUCUGGAAAGGCCCAUCAAAGAAGGUGACAAUCCUGUACGCGACAUCUUGAUGAACUCUACUAGCAUCCUGAGUACGGCGGGACACGAGGAAUCCCGUCGGAAUCCGCCAGGACCAUCUGGCAAGGCUAAAUACUACCUAGUGACCGAUAGUGAACCAGUACCGUGAGGGAAAGGUGAAAAGAACCCCGGGAGGGGAGUGAAAGAGUACCUGAAACCGUGUGCUUACAAGUAGUCAGAGCCCGUUAAUGGGUGAUGGCGUGCCUUUUGUAGAAUGAACCGGCGAGUUACGUUUACAUGCGAGGUUAAGAUGAAGAGUCGGAGCCGUAGCGAAAGCGAGUCUGAAUAGGGCGCAUGUAGUAUGUGGACGUAGACCCGAAACCAAGUGAUCUACCCAUGUCCAGGUUGAAGGUGCGGUAAAACGCACUGGAGGACCGAACCAGGGCACGUUGAAAAGUGCUUGGAUGAGGUGUGGGUAGCGGAGAAAUUCCAAUCGAACUUGGAGAUAGCUGGUUCUCUCCGAAAUAGCUUUAGGGCUAGCCUCGGAAUCAAGAAUCGUGGAGGUAGAGCACUGUUUGGACUAGGGGCCCAUCUCGGGUUACCGAAUUCAGAUAAACUCCGAAUGCCAUGUAUUUAUAUCCGGGAGUCAGACUGCGAGUGAUAAGAUCCGUAGUCGAAAGGGAAACAGCCCAGACCACCAGCUAAGGUCCCAAAAUAUCUGUUAAGUGGAAAAGGAUGUGGGGUUGCACAGACAACUAGGAUGUUGGCUUAGAAGCAGCCAUCAUUCAAAGAGUGCGUAAUAGCUCACUAGUCGAGUGACCCUGCGCCGAAAAUGUAACGGGGCUAAACAGAUUACCGAAGCUGUGGAUUGGACCUUAUGGUCCAGUGGUAGGAGAGCGUUCUAAGGGCGGUGAAGCAUGACCGUAAGGACAUGUGGAGCGCUUAGAAGUGAGAAUGCCGGUAUGAGUAGCGAAAGACGGGUGAGAAUCCCGUCCACCGAAUAACUAAGGUUUCCUGGGGAAGGCUCGUCCUCCCAGGGUUAGUCGGGACCUAAGGCGAGGCCGAUAGGCGUAGUCGAUGGACAACAGGUUGAUAUUCCUGUACUUCUAUAAAUCGUUUGAGCAAUGGAGGGACGCAGGAGGCUAAGAAAAGCGUACGACUGGAAGUGUACGUCCAAGCAGUGAGUCGGCUGAUGAGUUAAAUGCUUAUCACAGAUGCGACAAGCUGUGACGGGGAGGGAAGUUUAGUACCGAAGUUUCUGAUGUCACACUGCCGAGAAAAGCUUCUAGCAAGAUUUAUAGGACCCGUACCGCAAACCGACACAGGUAGUUGAGGAGAGAAUCCUAAGGUGAGCGAGCGAACUCUCGUUAAGGAACUCGGCAAAAUGACCCCGUAACUUCGGGAGAAGGGGUGCUGGUAGCAAUACCAGCCGCAGUGAAUAGGCCCAGGCGACUGUUUAUCAAAAACACAGGUCUCUGCAAAAUCGAAAGAUGACGUAUAGGGGCUGACGCCUGCCCGGUGCUGGAAGGUUAAGAGGAGAGGUUAGCGCAAGCGAAGCUUUGAAUUGAAGCCCCAGUAAACGGCGGCCGUAACUAUAACGGUCCUAAGGUAGCGAAAUUCCUUGUCGGGUAAGUUCCGACCCGCACGAAAGGCGUAACGAUCUGGGCACUGUCUCAACGAGAGACUCGGUGAAAUU